UCCACAAAAAUGAACAAAAACAGUGUGAUAAAAUGAAUUUAUUGUGAUAAAAGUUUUAGUUUAACUAAUCUCCUUAACUAUUUGCUCUUUUUUAACAGAUCUGUGUGUUAACACGCUGCAGCUAAACAACAUGCACAGCCAAGGACAGAAGGAGGCUGACAGCAUCGUGAUCUGUGCAGCAGCAGCAGCAGCAGCAGACGCAUCGGCUGAGCCUGGUCUUACCAGAGAGCAGCAUCAGCAGCAGCGCGCUCAGCAGCUCAACGCCAGUCCGCCCCUCCCGCCCGACUGAAGACAUCUCUCUGCCUACAAAUAACAACAACAACAGCUGCUGUCUCCCUGUGAGAGGUGUGUAGUUAUGAAUUUAAAAAAGAGCAGGUAUUCUGCUCUUUAACGCUAAAAAAAAUUGCUAUUGUUUCAGAGAAGGGACAUGGCUGGCAGUGUCUGUAGCCGAGUGAUGGUUGGUUUUAUGGUUCUCGGGUCCUUUGCGAUUGGACAGACAGAACAAGAUGGAGGAUGGCUCCCCUUCUGGAAGGUUUUUUUUAAAAAAGAAAAUAAUUAUACAAAACUGAUUUGGUAAAGCGGAAUUACCUUAAAAACAAAUACAUUUCAACAAGUUAUUCAAAAAAGAGGUUAAAAACCUAAAAUAAUCAAUGUAAACAAUAUAUUUUAUUGUUAUUAAAGCAAUUAAAAGACAGUAUUUAACAGAUUUUAUACACAUUUCAUCUUGUAUCUCUUAAAAUAUAUAUUUUAUAAAAUGAUUAUGCAUUUAUUGAAAUUGAUUAUCUUUAUUUUGAUGAGAAUACUAUGCUGAGAAAAAAACAGGUGGUCGUGCCGACAAACAAAAAAAUAAACAGAACGUUAUGCCUCUCAUAAUCCAGUACUGAUCUAUGACAGUAGAGGGAUAUAAAACUAGCUAUACAUUUGGAGUAAUCACAUCUUCCCACCAGGAGAGAAACCUAUAAAUUAAAUGAAAAUGACGCUCUUAAAAAAUACAUACAAGAAAAUAAUAAUUAUAAAGGAAAAGUGUCAAGUUGGGGGUUAAUGCUCCCAAUAGAAGGCCUUAGCUAACCUGUUGCUCAAAUUAAUUUUGAUGUCACCUUUAAGAAAAAAUAAAUAAA